GAAUGCAGAAUUCUUUUAAAGGGGAGUUUGAAUAUGUGAACACAACAGUAUGAAAUGCUGCAGCUGGAACAGCCCAUUAAUACUGGAUCUGAUGGUAUGAAUGGCCGCCAAGAUCAAUACCAGGAGAACUGCUGCCAUCCACAUCCACAGACGCAGGUUUGAAUCAAUGGGAACUUCGGAAAUCAUUGCAGACCACUAACAUCAUUGGUGUGACAGACUUCUGAUCACGAGGUGGUCCAAGGAGGAAAGAAAGAAAUUAACAGACAAAAUUCAGAUGAGAACCAGUCUUUUCCUCCUGGAGUCCAGAGAGUUACACAGGUACCCGUGGUUGAAUGCGGCCAGAAGCCGAAGCCGAAGCCAAAGAAUGCGGCCAGGAUCAUCCGAAGCAGGUGAUCCUCCUUCGGAUGCAUCAUUGAGUCAACAGCAGCCUAACCGUACAUCGCAUGCCUGUGUCACUCACCUCACUUCUUAUCACGGGGACAUUCGGUCACCCACACCAUCACCACAAGAAGAAGGGUGAGCUCAGUACAAGAAGAUAUUUUGAGAGAGGGAGACUGAGAGCACAUUCCCGUUACUUUUAUUAUAAUAUAUUGUUAUAAGUAUUCUAUUCUUUAUUAGUUACUGCUGCUAACCUCUCCCUGUGCCUAAUGUAUAAGCGUCACUUUGUCACAGGUGGGUAUGCAUAGGUACAAAUAAAGCAUAUGUUUGGUACUAUGUGUGAUUCGGGCACCUGCUGGGAGUCUUGGAAUGGUCCCUGCAGGUGAAGGGGCCUCAUGCUAAUGGUGAAGUCUCUUCUAAAGAGAAAUCUCAGACUAUUAGAUCAAUAUUUUAUUCUAAUGCUGAUCAACCGUCUCUAUAAAUGUCAUCUCUCCCCCACCUUCCAAAUAAAACAAGAUAAUGUUUUCCUACAAAAGAAUUGAGAAUAGGCCUGCCUAUUUUUGCUCCAGGGUAAUGGAAUAUAUUUAUUGAUGCAGAAUAAAUGACAUGAGUCAGAGUUCACUGUGGAGACUCCCAUAGCUCUUACUAAUCUUAUAAAGAUGAAGUGUGCUGGGCGUCUCAAUAAAUGAGAGCCAUCCAGUUCUUAAGAGCAUAUUCAAUUCAUAAUUUUAACCCACCAUCCCUGCAUUUUUCAGGGUCAAUAGCAAAGUGUGAUAUCCACCACUCUAUUUGGUCUUUAGCAAUCUCAUUUUUGUGGAUCUGAAUCUCAUCAGGGAAAAUGAACUCACGGAUAAAUCUGCAUAAUUACACAUACUGUCUGCUUGCAGCAAAAUAUCUAGCUGCUCCAAUUUCUCCUUCAUCCAUUGUUAUAGGGUCCAGGAAAAACACAAUGCAAAUUCCAUAGACAAGAGAAUGCUCGCCUCUAGAGUUCCAGAGAGAAUGUGGCUCGUGACAUUCAAGAUUUGAUUUGAGACUUCUUUCCCUCAUGUACAUUCUGAGCAAAUAAUACAGCAAUGUUAUUCCCGGGAACAAAUGCAAAUUCAUCACUGUUCAUGGCAAGAUACAGAGCACUGCAUAAAUGGCACAAGUUUGUCCAAUAGUUUUUACUUAAAUAUUAUGGGACUGAUGCCUACAAACAAUUUUUGAAAGCUUUUUUUAUUGAGCAAUAACAGAACUUCAGAAAGUAUAUGUACUUUCAGAAGUGCAGAGCUUGAUGAAUUAUUACAAAGCAAACACACAUAUGCAGCCUCCACCAGGGUCAAUAAAUAAAACAUCAGGGAUGUCCCCAGGACCCAGAUCUCUUGUGGUUUGCCUUUCUGAUCACCUACCCAUCCAUCUUAGCUUCUCCAGGUCCCAUGUCCUAACACCACAGGGCAGAUAGAAUUGUCACAGUAAGUAUAUUUGGUUGCCCUGCUGCUUUCAUUCUGAACUCACUUGGUUGGAGAGAGUCACCUAUCUUUGGUGUUUAUCAGCCAUGCAUUCAUUCCUGUUUUAUACUCAAUACACUUUGUCUUUGGCAUAUUUGGUACAAAUAUACCAAAGCUUAUUUUUGCCCAUUGUACUGAGCAUGUAGGUUGUAUCUGAUUUGGGGCUGUCUUGAUAAUGCUGCUAGUAAUACUUUUGUCCAUGCAUUUUGGUGCACUUGUAUAAUUCCUGGAUCGGAGGGUGUAAAUGUGUUCCAUUUUAGUAGAUAAUGACCAAUACUUUUCCACAGAGGUUAGACAGGUUUUCAUUCCCAUCAGAAGUGUGUGAGAAUUCCAGUAAGUCGAAAUCCUCACUGAUACUAGACAUUUGUCAGGCUUUUAAAUUUAUUAGCCAUCUGUAUGUAAGUUAUCUCGUUGUGGUUUUAAUUUGUACUUCUCUGGUGAAGGAGGUUGGAAAUAUUUUGAUAUAGUUAUUGGUUGUGGGUAUCAACCACCACUACACACUCCCUGAUAUUUAAAGGUGUCUUUUCAAGAAUCUUGCCAUUUUUCUAAUAGGUAUGAAUGUCAUUAGCUUAUUGAUUUGCAGAAUUCUUGUAUGUCCUGGAUACAAGCCUUUUGUUGGUUUUAUAUGUGCUAAUAUUUUCUCUCAUUCUAUGGUUUGUCUUUCUGUGUUCUUGAUAUAGUCUUUUGAUGAACAGAAAUUCCCAGUUUUAAUGUAGUCAAAUGAAUGAAUGUUUGAUUUUGUGUCUGUUGCUUUUGUGUUUGGUUUAAGAGAUCUUUGUUUACACAAACAGUAUGCUUUCUUAUAGGAAUCCCGUGACUUACCUUUGCAUAUAGCUCACCAAUUCACAUGAAACUGAUUUUUGUGUAUGGUGUGAGAUAAUAGUCAUCAUCAUUAUUUUUUUUCCUGGGUAAUAUCUGAUGAACCCAGCACCAAUUCAUUAAAAAGGGACCCUUUCCCCAACACAUUGCAGGGCCACCUGUGACAUAAGUCAGGUGUCCAUACAGCCAUGUCUUGGGGAGUUCUAUUCUGUUCCUUUGGUUGAUUUUUUUUCUAUCUCUGCUCCAACAGGAUAUUGAUAAAAUAACAAGGCAUUUUAUUCUAUCUGAUAGAGUAAUUUCUUUAAAUCCACCUGUUUUCUUAAAGAUUCUCUUGAAUAUUCCUGGCCGUUUACGUUUUCAACAUCAAUUUUAGAAUCUGCUGGUCAAAUAUCUUUUGAGAGUUUUAUCAGAGUUACACUGAAACUAUACUAACACCUUUGUAACAUUAAAACUUCAAUUCAUGGAGGUGCCUGGCUGGCUCAUCAGUGGAACAUGUGACUCUUGAUCUCAGGGGCAUGAGUUUGAGCACUACGUUGGGUAUAAAGAUUAUUUAAAAAUAAAAUAAAAAAAAAAGACUUCAGUUCAUGAACUAUGGUAUUUCCCAUUUUGCAUAUCUUUAAUUUACCCAAAUGCUGCUUUGUCCUUUAUACUGUUGAAGUUGAAUAUCUUUCACUAGAUUUAGCCUUCAUUAUUGUAUCUUUGGUUUCAUUUUUUUUUUAAGAUUUAUUUAUUUAUUUAUUUAUUUAUUUGAGACACACA
rnacentral:lncRNA from 1 species